CGCCUUAUAUCAGUUCCUCUGUUUCCAAAUCAACAGCCAAAUAAAUUUACAAGAAAAGGCAAAAGAAUGGCAUUCUUGAAAUUCUUUAUAACAUCCUUUUGUAGUUGUUUUCUGUUUUCACCCUCGUCUCGGGUCACUGGCAACUCCGAUGGCUGCAAUUUAAAAGCGAUUCCGAUGGAAAACCCCAAAAGCAAAUCAAACUCAUAUGGAGCUCCUCUUAUAGUUUCACACUUUCCAAUUAGAUCAUAUCUGUCUCCCUUGUAGCAUCGGCUGUGUUACAUGUACCCUUCGAAAAUUCAAAAGUAUUAGUGUCAAUAAGACAUGACACGGGUACACGUACAUGUACAAGUACGGGUGCGGAUGCAGGUGUGAUUGGGUCACAACAGUUUAGUGGAAAUGAAUCAAAAUAUUCUAAAAAUAGGCGUGUACAUAUAAGUGGUUAACAUGAAGUUAAUUUUGGUCAAUUGACCAAUACAGCGUUGACACGCAAGCGGGAGGUGAUCUUUUCCUCUGCAUGUCAGCAUUGUAUUGGUCAAUUAAUCAACUUAUUAUAAAAUUAGUUUCAUAGUAACCAGAUCCAUUGUACAUGCUUAUUGUGGGAUCCGUGUCCAAAACCAAAGCUAUGGGUGCAUAAUUUCCCAAUGAAGGCCAAGUUGGUGACAAAAAAAAUAAUAAGGUCAAAUUUAGGACAAGGGCAUUUAAGUUUCAGUAGGGAGGGUGUACUUCUUUAUUUAUGAUAUGUUGAUGCUUUAUUGCUUUGUGUAUUUGGCUUAUUUUGUAUGAUUACAAGAGCAUCAUAGACCUGUCUCUGAUGUGGUUGCUAUAGCGUCUUCGCGGUUCUUUUAUAUUACUAACAAUUUAGAAAGAAAAGAGAAGGUAUACUCAUCACACUUCAUGGGAUUUACAAGAGAAUAUAUUUGUAGGAGUGGGUGUGAUAUUGUAGAAGGUAGAUAAUGUUAUCCGUAAUAUAUAGUAUUAUUUAAUAUAUAUAUAUAUAUAUAAAAAUAUAAUAAAACAGAAUAUAAUUUUAUAUAUAUAUAACACAUAAAAUAUUAAUGAAUAAAUCCGAG
rnacentral:lncRNA from 1 species